rnacentral:rRNA from 1 species
GAUUACGGGUACGGGGAUUAGGGUUCGAUUCCGGAGAGGGAGCCUGAGAAACGGCUACCACAUCCAAGGAAGGCAGCAGGCGCGCAAAUUACCCAAUCCCGACACGGGGAGGUAGUGACAAUAAAUAACAAUACGGGGCUCAUUUGGGUCUCGUAAUUGGAAUGAGUACAAUUUAAAUCUCUUAACGAGGAACAAUUGGAGGGCAAGUCUGGUGCCAGCAGCCGCGGUAAUUCCAGCUCCAAUAGCGUAUAUUAAAGUUGUUGCAGUUAAAAAGCUCGUAGUUGAACUUCGGGGUUUACCCAUUGGUCAGGCUUAAUUGUCUGUACUGGUGAGAUAAAUCUCUACCUUCUGAGGAACUUUCAUGUCAUUAAUUUGGUGUGAUUGGAAAUCAGGACUGUUACUUUGAAAAAAUUAGAGUGUUUAAAGCAGGCUAACGUCUGAAUACAUUAGCAUGGAAUAAUGAAAUAGGACGGAUUGAUUCUAUUUCGUUGGUUUCUAGGAUCACCGUAAUGAUUAAUAGGGAUAGUUGGGGGCAUUAGUAUUCAAUUGUCAGAGGUGAAAUUCUUGGAUUUAUUGAAGACUAACUACUGCGAAAGCAUUUGCCAAGGAUGUUUUCAUUAAUCAAGAACGAAAGUUAGGGGAUCGAAGACGAUCAGAUACCGUCGUAGUCUUAACCAUAAACUAUGCCGACUAGGGAUCGGACGAAGUUAAUUUUAUAAUGACGCGUUCGGCACCUUACGGGAAACCAAGUGU